rnacentral:rRNA from 1 species
UGGGGAAUAUUGCACAAUGGAGGGAACUCUGAUGCAGCGACGCCGCGUGAGUGAUGAAGGAAUUCGUUUCGUAAAACUCUGUUCUAUGGGAAGAAAAGGACUGUACCAUAGGAGAAAGCUCCGGCUAAAUACGUGCCAGCAGCCGCGAUAAUACGUAUGGAGCGAGCGUUGUCCGGAAUUAUUGGGCGUAAAGGGUGCGCAGGCGGCUUUACAAGUUGGAUGUGAAAUAUUGUGGCUCAACCACAAACGUGCAUCCAAAACUGCAAAGCUUGAGUUAAGGAGAGGUAAGUGGAAUUCCUGGUGUAGCGGUGGAAUGCGUAGAUAUCAGGAGGAAUACCGGUGGCGAAGGCGACUUACUGGACUUAAACUGACGCUCAGGCACGAAAGCGUGGGGAGCAAACAGG